rnacentral:rRNA from 1 species
GGAUGAACGCUAGCGGCAGGCUUACACAUGCAAGUCGAGGGGUAACAGGUUCCUUCGGGAAUGCUGACGACCGGCGCACGGGUGAGUAACGCGUAUGCAACCUUCCUGUAUCUGGAGGAUAGGCCUUGGAAACGAGGAUUAAUACUGCGUAAUAUUAUAUUAUCGCAUGGUAAAAUAAUCAAAUCUACGGAGGAUACAGAUGGGCAUGCGUGCCAUUAGCUAGAUGGUAAGGUAAGGGCUUACCAUGGCGACGAUGGCUAGGGGUUCUGCAAUGAAGAUCCCCCACACUGGUACUGAGACACGGACCAGACUCCUACGGGAGGCAGCAGCGGGGAAUAUUGCACAAUGGAGGAAACUCUGAUGCAGCAACGCCGCGUGAACGAAGAAGGCUUUCGAGUCGUAAAGUUCUGUUAUAGGGGAAGAAGAAGUGACGGUACCCUAUGAGAAAGCCACGGCUAAUUACGUGCCAGCAGCCGCGGUAAUACGUAAGUGGCAAGCGUUAUCCGGAAUUACUGGGCAUAAAGCGUUCGUAGGCGGUUAAACAAGCCAAUAGUGAAAUCCACCAGCCUAACUGGUGUCAGCUAAUGGAACUGUAUAACUUGAGUACAGGAGAGGAAAGUGGAAUUCCUAGUGUAGUAGUGAAAUGCGUAGAUAUUAGGAAGAACAUCAGUAGCGAAGGCGACUUUCUGGACUGUAACUGACGCUGAGGAACGAAAGCGUGGGGAGCGAACAGGAUUAGAUACCCUGGUAGUCCACGCCGUAAACGAUGGAUACUUGGUGUUGGCCGUAAAGGUCGGUGCCGGAGCAAAUGUAUUAAGUAUCCCGCCUGGGGAGUACGGUCGCAAGGCUGAAACUCAAAAGAAUUGACGGGGACCCGCACAAGCAGCGGAGCAUGUGGUUUAAUUCGAAGCAACGCGAAGAACCUUACCAAAUCUUGACAUAUCAAAGCUAUCUGAGUAAAAUUGGAGUUCCAUUUGGACUUUGACUACAGGUGGUGCAUGGUUGUCGUCAGCUCGUGUCGUGAGAUGUUGGGUUAAGUCCCGUAACGAGCGCAACCCUUAUUUUUAGUUGCUAACAAGUAAAGUUGAGGACUCUAGAGAGACUGCCGAUGAAAAAAUCGGAGGAAGGUGGGGAUGACGUCAAAUCAUCAUGCCCCUUAUGAUUUGGGCUACACACGUGCUACAAUGGCCGGUACAACGGGUAAGCGAAGGGGUGACCUGGAGCCAAUCCUCACAAGCCGGUCCCAGUUCGGAUUGCAGAUUGAACUCAUCUGUAUGAAGUUGGAGUUGCUAGUAAUCGCGAAUCAGAAUGUCGCGGUGA